GACGAACGCUGGCGGCGUGCCUAAUACAUGCAAGUCGAACGCAGUGGGGACGGGUGAGUAACACGUGGGUAACCUCCCAUCAGAGGGGAUAACACUUGGAAACAGGUGCUCAACCGCAAUUGAUGGAUGGAGCUGCUGUGCAUUAGCUAGUUGGGGAGGUAACGGCUCACCAAGGCCAUGAGGCAUAGCCGGGCUGAGAGGAUGACCAGCCACACGGGGACGGAGACACGGCCCAGACUCCGACGGGAGGCAGCAGUGGGGAAUCGUCGGCAAGGGACGAAAGUCUGACCGAGCAACGCCGCGUGAGUGAAUAAGGUUUUCGGAUCGUAAACCUCUGUUGUUAGAGAAGCGGUAUCUAAACAAGAAGCAACGGCUAACUACGUGCCAGCAGCCGCGGUAAUUC
rnacentral:rRNA from 1 species